AUUACAUUAGGCUUGUAGCAAUUGGCAGAAAAUGUGCUGGUAUGUUAUAAUUCUAUGGCAGAGCUUUAUAUCUAUGAUGUCACGAGUGCUCCAUACUCUUUUGUGGACUGGCCAAGAUUCUCCAGGCAUAAUUAAUUCUCAUGGGAAGCUAUUAAUUUCAAGGGAUAUCACCACUAUGACAUUGCUCUUCUUGGCCGGAGAGGAUAGACAAUCGAGAAGAUGAAAGUGAAAUCAGAUAACUAAGAAUGGACACAGAAAUUAACCAGUAAUGGGCAUCUGUACUGCGACAGAAAACAUCUAAUGUUAUAAAGGUAAGAACAACACAUUUUGAACUUCCUUGGAGAAAAGGAAAGGAUCACCUCCAGCUCCUGUUUACUGGUUCCUACUAACAAUUUUUAUUGACAAAUUCCCUUCUCCCUCUAAUGCACUUGUUUCAUCUAGGGUGUUCCCUCCUAAUGGGAUUUUGCCACAGGAUUCCUGGCUACAGAUGCAUUUCCCUAUGGUC
rnacentral:lncRNA from 1 species